UCCGGUUUGUCACCGGCAGUCUCCUUAGAGUGCCCAACUGAAUGCUGGCGACUAAGAACAAGGGUUGCGCUCGUUGCGGGACUUAACCCAACAUCUCACGACACGAGUUGACGACAGCCAUGCACCACCUGUGAAGGUGCCCCGAAGGGAGGGUGUGUUUCCACACCUGUCACCUACAUGUCAAGUCCAGGUAAGGUUCUUCGCGUUGCGUCGAAUUAAACCACAUGCUCCGCUGCUUGUGCGGGCCCCCGUCAAUUCCUUUGAGUUUCAACCUUGCGGCCGUACUCCCCAGGCGGGGAACUUACUCCGUUAGGUGCGGCACCGGCGGUAACCCGCCGACACUUAGUUCCCAUCGUUUAGGGCGUGGACUAC
rnacentral:misc_RNA from 1 species